rnacentral:rRNA from 1 species
UACGUAGGGGGCAAGCGUUGUCCGGAUUUAUUGGGCGUAAAGAGCGUGUAGGCGGCCGUACAGGUCAGCUGAGAAAACUCGAGGCUCAACCUCGAGACGUCGGUUGAAACCGUAAGGCUAGAGUCCGGAAGAGGAGAGUGGAAUUCCCGGUGUAGCGGUGAAAUGCGCAGAUAUCGGGAAGAACACCCGUGGCGAAGGCGGCUCACUGGCCCGUAACUGACGCUCAUGCACGAUAGCGUGGGGAUCAAACAGG